UCCGUAGGUGGACGGUUAAGUCAGAGGUGAAAUCCUGCAGCUCAACUGUAGAAUUGCCUUUGAUACUGGUCGUCUUGAGUCAUUGUGAAGUGGUUGGAAUAUGUAGUGUAGCGGUGAAAUGCAUAGAUAUUACAUAGAACACCGAUUGCGAAGGCAGAUCACUAACGAUGUACUGACACUGAUGGACGAAAGCGUGGGAGCGAACA
rnacentral:rRNA from 1 species